rnacentral:rRNA from 1 species
GACGAACGCUGGCGGCGGGCUUAACACAUGCAAGUCGAACGGAAAGGCACUGCUUUUGUGGGGUGCUCGAGUGGCGAAAGGGUGCGUAACAGGUGAGUAACCUGACCUUGACUUUGGGAUAACUUCAGGAAACUGGGGCUAAUACCGGAUAGGAGCUCCUGCUGCAUGGUGGGGGUUGGAAAGUUUCGGCGGGUGGGGAUGGACUCGCGGCUUAUCAGCUUGUUGGUGGGGUAGUGGCUUACCAAGGCUUUGACGGGUAGCCGGCCUGAGAGGGUGACCGGCCACAUUGGGACUGAGAUACGGCCCAGGUUCCUACUGGAGGCAGCAGUGGGGAAUAUUGCACAAUGGGCGGAAGCCGGAUGCAGCAACGCCGCGUGCUGGAAGACGGCCUUCGUGUUGUAAACCGCUUUCGCCUGUGACGAAGCGUGAGUGACGGUAAUGGGUAAAGAAGCACCGGCUAACUACGUG